UGGGGAAUAUUGCACAAUGGGCGCAAGCCUGAUGCAGCCAUGCCGCGUGUGUGAAGAAGGCCUUCGGGUUGUAAAGCACUUUCAGCGGGGAGGAAGGCGAUAAGGUUAAUAACCUUGGCAAUUGACGUUACCGACAGAAGAAGCACCGGCUAACUCCGUGCCAGCAGCCGCGGUAAUACGGAGGGUGCAAGCGUUAAUCGGAAUUACUGGGCGUAAAGCGCACGCAGGCGGUUGAUUGAGUCAGAUGUGAAAUCCCCGGGCUUAACCCGGGAAUUGCACCUGAUACUGGUCAGCUAGAGUCUUGUAGAGGGGGGUAGAAUUCCAUGUGUAGCGGUGAAAUGCGUAGAGAUGUGGAGGAAUACCGGUGGCGAAGGCGGCCCCCUGGACAAAGACUGACGCUCAGGUGCGAAAGCGUGGGGAGCAAACAGG
rnacentral:rRNA from 1 species